GAGGAGCUUGCUCCUUUGACGUUAGCGGCGGACGGGUGAGUAACACGUGGGUAACCUACCUAUAAGACUGGGAUAACUUCGGGAAACCGGAGCUAAUACCGGAUAAUAUUUCGAACCGCAUGGUUCGAUAGUGAAAGAUGGCUUUGCUAUCACUUAUAGAUGGACCUGCGCCGUAUUAGCUAGUUGGUAAGGUAACGGCUUACCAAGGCAACGAUACGUAGCCGACCUGAGAGGGUGAUCGGCCACACUGGAACUGAGACACGGUCCAGACUAAUACGGGAGGCAGCAGUAGGGAAUCUUCCGCAAUGGGCGAAAGCCUGACGGAGCAACGCCGCGUGAGUGAUGAAGGUCUUCGGAUCGUAAAACUCUGUUAUUAGGGAAGAACAAACGUGUAAGUAACUGUGCACGUCUUGACGGUACCUAAUCAGAAAGCCACGGCUAACUACGUGCCAGCAGCCGCGGUAAUACGUAGGUGGCAAGCGUUAUCCGGAAUUAUUGGGCGUAAAGCGCGCGUAGGCGGUUUUUUAAGUCUGAUGUGAAAGCCCACGGCUCAACCGUGGAGGGUCAUUGGAAACUGGAAAACUUGAGUGCAGAAGAGGAAAGUGGAAUUCCAUGUGUAGCGGUGAAAUGCGCAGAGAUAUGGAGGAACACCAGUGGCGAAGGCGACUUUCUGGUCUGUAACUGACGCUGAUGUGCGAAAGCGUGGGGAUCAAACAGGAUUAGAUACCCUGGUAGUCCACGCCGUAAACGAUGAGUGCUAAGUGUUAGGGGGUUUCCGCCCCUUAGUGCUGCAGCUAACGCAUUAAGCACUCCGCCUGGGGAGUACGACC
rnacentral:rRNA from 1 species